UCCGAGUUGACCCCGGCAGUCUCCCAUGAGUCCCCGCCAUUACGCGCUGGCAACAUGGAACGAGGGUUGCGCUCGUUGCGGGACUUAACCCAACAUCUCACGACACGAGCUGACGACAACCAUGCACCACCUGUGAACCGGCCGCAAGCGGGGCACCUGUUUCCAGGUGUUUCCGGUCCAUGUCAAGCCUUGGUAAGGUUCUUCGCGUUGCAUCGAAUUAAUCCGCAUGCUCCGCCGCUUGUGCGGGCCCCCGUCAAUUCCUUUGAGUUUUAACCUUGCGGCCGUAGUCCCCAGGCGGUGAACUUAAUGCGUUAGCUGCGGCACUGAUCGGGUCAAUCCGACCAACACCUAGUUCACAACGUUUAGGGCGUGGACUAC
rnacentral:misc_RNA from 1 species